GCCAGCUUAGUAUAGUGGUUUGAGUGUUGGACUAUGACUCUGGAGGCCCCUGGUUCGAUUCCCUGCUCAGCCA